AGUCAGCACCAUUUAUCAUGAAUUUUCUAUUUUGUUCCACUGGUGUAUUUCUCAGUUUCUAGUAUAAACCCUGGUGGCGCAGUGGUUAAGAGCUAUGGCUGCUAACCAAAAGGUUGGCAGUUCAAGUCCACCAGGCGCUCCUUGGAAACUAUGGGGCAGUUCUACCCUGUCCUAUAGGGUCACUAUGAGUCAGAAUCGACUCGACAGCAUGGGUUUGGUUUUUUGGUUUAGUAUAAUGUAUUAAUUUGUUCUAUUAUUCAAUGAAAGAAGGCUGCACUUACUAUCCUUUUUCAUAUUUCAAUUGUCUGUUCUUUGGUAUAAGGAGCCCUGGUGGUGCAAUGGUUAAGCACUUGGCUGCUAACCGAGAGGUUGGCGGGUCGAACGCACCCAGCAGCUCUACAGGAGAAAGACCUGGGAAUCUGCUUCUGGAAAAAUUACAGCCCCCUUCCUUCCCCCUCAGAAAAAGAAAAAACCCUAAGUGGCAGUUCUACUCUGUGUUCAGUUCAACAGACAACUAUUUUGAUAUUCUAAUGGGAAUCACAUUAUAUAUAUAUCUUAGUUUUGAAACACUUGACUUGUUUUACAAGUCUUCAUGUUUGGGAGAACAGGCAUAUUUUUUGCAUUCAAUCGGGUUUUGUUUUAUUUACUUCAGUAGAUUAUUUUCUUCAUAUAGGUUCCUUACCGUUUCUAUCAAAACAUUUCCCUAAGUAUCUUAUUGUUUUUGACACUAUUUGGUACAAUCAAAUAGCAGAGAAAAAAGAAUGGUCUAUCCUUCCCAUUUUCAUUUUUUCGCGUGCUUAUUUCUGGACAGAAAUAUAGAACUGAUUUUGGUAUACUUGUCCUAUAUCCUGCCACUUUAUCAGCAAUUUUAUAUUCGUCCUCUAGGUUUGCAAUUAUAUCAGCAUUAAAAAAGUUUUAAAAUCUUUUAAUAGUUACCCUCGUUAUUUAAAAUUUCUGGCUUAUUCUUUCACCGUCAAAACUAUAUUCUGGGAUAGAAGUAAUUAUAGCUAUCUUUGUUUAGUUGCAAAUUUUAUCAAAAUGAAUGGACUGUUUUGUAGUCUAUCCCACAUCUGUUAAGUUUUGGGAUAAUUCGUUGUGCACCAGUAGAUAACAAACACGUUGACCUUGCCGACCAUGAUUGCAUUUAGCUUCGUGGGCAAGUUGGGGAGAGUUUCGUCUUCAUCUAUUCUUUGAUGGAUCCUGUCUAAGGCCAAAAUUAACUGUUCUUUGCAUGUUUCAUGAAAUCUGCUGAGAGCCAACCAGGCCUGUAAUUUUCUUUGCAGGAAGAUUUUUAACUCUAAUCCCUUUUCGACUCAACGGCAAGUAGCAACAACAACAAUCCAUUUUGCUUCAUGGAAUCUUCUGGCAAUAAUUUAUUAGAGAAGUUUCCAAUGUGUGCUCUAGGCUGCUGGAAAGCCAUCUUUAAAGAUUAUGUGGAUAUUCACUCUUUUCAGCCUUAUCCAAACCCAUUAAUCAAUCCCAGAUUUUCCCCAUUUCCACAAAGGUCCUUUCCUGCAUCCACUCCUGGUACCAGUUCCCUCCUCUCAGACUUUGUAUUUUCUGAAAAGAAAUGAACAGUGUGCCACCCAAGCAGUUUCGUGCCCACAGACUCCUGAGUCCAAAAUAGGGAGGAUACUGUCUUCAAAUAUUCUUUUAUUUUCUAUUUUUGUCUGUACUUAAUUUCUUUUUCAUACCGUAUCGUAAUUGUUUUAAAGUUGUGUUUUUAUGUCUGGGUCUGAAACCCAGCUGGGAUUCCCUUUGUGUGUGGUAUGUUGUGGUGUCCAGUUGCAUGUGGGCAUCAAAAGGACACAUUUUUCAGGAGGGUGGGGAUGGGGAGGGUGCUGACACAUUGCGGGGAUUGCAACCAAUGUCGGGGAAAAUUUUUGUAUGAAUUGCUGAAUGGCAAACUAAUUUACUAUGUAAAUUUUCACCUAAAGCACAAAAAUGUUAUACACACACACACACACACGCACGCACGCACAUUGUGAAACUAAAAGGCAGGGAGAGGCAGUUGGGGCGGUUGGGCCAACCACAGUGGGUGCUGCGCGCGGGGAGAGGAGCACUCCAGGGCGUCACGGAGUCCUGCGCCCAGCAGGGCUGGCAGAGGACCUGAGCCUGGGUCCGGUGCCUCUGGCAAAGGGCCAGCUCCCCUCAUACCUGCCUGCCAGCCAGGCUCCAGCCCCUGCCCUCAUCCCUCUGGGUCUCCCCCACCAGUCUCCUCAUUGCUACCACUAAAAUUUAGGGGGAGGCCAACGCCACCCAGAGGGUGGCGCAGAACCUGGACUUCAGGAGCUCCACGUGCACCGCCGGGCCCGCAGCACUUCCGCUGCGAAUCCGUCAGCUGUCGGGUAUCCCUAGGACGCUGGGCACGGGACCUCUCUCCUCAGACUGGGAUCCAGGGACCAGCAGCACUGGUAGCACCUGGAACCUUGAUGGAAAUGUAGACUCUUGGGCCUCAACCCAGACCUCCUGACUCAGACUCAUCAUUUUAACACGAUCCUUAGGUGAUCUGGGUGCACAAUGAAGUUUGGGAAGCACCAUGACUGACCUGGAUCUCAGAGAAAUCAAAUAUAAUGCAUGUGAGUUCUUGGGCCCAUUACAAAAUGGAUUGUCAUCCCUGAGGUCUGGUUUGGCCCCAUCUUUCUGUCAGUAAGUGAGAUCUCUUUGGUUCCUUCUCAGGAGAUAAGCCUUCCCAGCCUUCUAGUUGAGGUCUUAGAGAGAAGUACUUAGUACCAAAGGACAUGAAAAAUAAACUUGAAAGAAAAAUGUGUUCAUUUCCAGGAGAAAAACUCAGUGCAAAGUGUUGCAUUUAUACUUGGUAUAUUUUCAAACUCAGAGGAAUUCACAGUUUAAAUAAUUCUCUUAAAACAUUUUUUGUUAAUUGACUGCUGAAUUAAUGUCUACCACGGGGACAUGGAAACAACACUGAUUUGCUCAACCUUGAUAAUGUGAAUUUAUCAUAUUAUUUCAGGAAGAAAAUGCACGUUUCUUCAUGAACGUGUAAUUUAAAUAGGGAAUCUGCAGAGUUUUAUAACUGUUUAAUGGUUUAAGCAAGGAUAAUGAGAUAAACUUAACAGAUUCUUAGUGUGAAUUCCCUUGGAUUCACUUGUCGGAAAAGACAGGCAGAGGAGAGUUAAAACAUAUAGAAACAGUAUGCUUCAAAAGCAUUGAUGAUAUGUCUUUUCAUUUCUGUAGAGUUGUAUGUGACUGUUGAUAGUGUGUACUGCCCUGGUGGCACAGUGGCUAAAAGCUCGCUUGCUAACCAAAAGAUUGGUGGUUCAAAUCCACCAGCUGCUCCUUAGAAAUCCCAUGGGCAGCUCUACUCUGUUCUAUAGGGUUGCUAUGAGUCGGAAUCAACUUGCUGGCAGUGAGUUUGGGUUUUUUGUUUUUUUGGUAUGUUCCCAUUUAUAUAUGAGUUAAAAGUUAGAAGAACCAAAAAGAUAGUGUUACUGCCAUGGCUACUGACUUACGGGAACCAAGAUAAAUUGUCAAGUGAAGAAUGGUGCAGAGAAACAUGUGGGUAGAGUGUGACCUAAUCUCGAGAAAAGCAAACAAACCAUAAAGCUACAUGUGUACCUGUGACUAUGCAUAUGUGUUCCAGCAAGCAGGAAUGCGUGAAGAGGUACACAUGUGUCUUUGAACAUGGACACUUUGGAGAAGCAGGUAAAAUUUACACAUGUGGGGAUGACUCUUAUUAUAAUUCUUAUAAAAAUCUGACUUGUUAAAUGUGUUAUAAUAAGAAUACAAGAGUUUUCAAAGUAAAAAAAAUCAUAGAAAUAUAUAUAUGUAUAUAUUUAAAACAGUUUUAUUGGCUGUUAUUUUAUAUAGGCAAAACACUGUCAUCAAUACUGGAUUCAGAGACUUUCACCACUGGGUGAAGAGCAAACUCAGAGAUGGAACAAAGGUCUCAGCAAAUUUCUUGCUUGUUCUUGGAGCUAAUGACCUCUUCUGGUCUCUAUACCUGGAAAUGGCCAAAAAGAGUUCUGUCAGGAUUAAUGCAGUCAUUGUUCAAACAUCUACUGCAUGUACAUGUCUUCGGGGUAAGGAAGAAUGCUGGACACCAUGUGCAAUUCAUUAAGUAACAAGUGGACCAUUAGACAGUUCUUUCUCUGAUGUCCCACUACCACGUUCCUCCCCUUGUUGCUCUACUGGAAAACCCACGGUAUACAUUGUAGGCCUUUUUUCAGGACUCAACAUAGAGGAAGUUAACUGGAAAGAUACAUCUUUUAAAGAUAAAGAAGAUUUUGUCCACAAGGUCUUUAGACAUGUGGACCUCCCAGGCAGCCUCUGCAUAGGAUGGGAAUGCAAGACCCCUCUCACUCAGUAUCUCUGAGCAUUUCAGUCUUUCUGUUUCUUUAUCAGGAGACUGCAGAAUUUACCCACUUCAGAACCCUUGCUGCCAUCAACCCCAACCAGUCCCAUAUAGGACCCCUCACUUCCACUCUGAGAAAUAAAAGUAGGACAGCCUGCAGGUGGAGGUGCCUGACCUGGAGUCCCUGUCUAUCCUUCCUUACCCCUGAGGGCUUCCCUGUGCCAACUGGGGUUUCAUUUCCCAGGGUGGACAUACCUCUGGCACUUCCAGGGCUUCCCAGGCCCUGGAGCUUGAUAUUGAGGAUGGGACUUGGGCUUUUCUGGGCCUGCAGAGCCUGGGCCUCAAGCUGCCCCUUCCUACCCUCAACCUUUGGUUAUCUGUACUCUGGCUGUCUUUACCAGGUUUAGGAGGCCUUGCCUUCUCUUUUGCUCCUUUCAUCUCAGUCAGGCUUUUCUCUUCCAGUUCUCUGAUCUCAGGGCAGUUCAGGCUAGACCACAGAAAAGAGAAAGAUGAAACAAGUGUCAUUGAUUAUGUGUGGAGGCUGCUGGGAAAGGAAUUGACUGUCAUUGGCUUAGGGCUUUAUGCCCACUGCUCACCUGCAGGCAGGUUUUCCCACAGCCUACUGUCUCAUUGGCUCCUUCUGUCACAAAGAACGUAGUGAUGCCCCCUUCACCGUCACACUUCCCUUAGAGCUGUCAUUACAGAGGCUCCCUCUCAGUCUCCCAAGUCCCACUGAAAUCCCAUUUCACUUUCCCUACUAAUGCUGUGCUCAUCCUCAAGGCCUCAAGAGCUCACCAUCCAGAUGAGGCCUGUCCUUUCCUCUCCAAGAGAGCCUCUGAGCAGACCUGGUGUCUAUGGUCAGCUGUCCUGAGGUUUCUUCCAUCCAGUUCCCCCUCCGGCUGGAGCUCUCCAUGCAGUUAAGGGGGUGGAGUGGGGUGGGGAGGAAGGCACAUGUGAGGGUUUUACAGGUGUAGUGGGUGAAAGGAGCCUGAAAGGACGUCUUUCCAGAAGGGCCCACAUUUUGAGGCCAUGCCUGUACCCUCUGUAGCCAGGUCUCCCACAUCUGCAGCAGCACCAGUAGAUGCUGUAGUCUCUCCAGCCCCUGUCUCUGCUCCUCUAGAUGCUCCUGAAGGUGCCCGGCUCUUCUUGCCAGGACUCCAGGAUGCUGACCGAGGCUUAGGUAUUGUGUAGACUGGAAGCAGAGCCGAUGGGGCUGUCUUUGAGAACUUGGCCUCAAGACUGGGGGCAUCUUGCCUACGGAGGCAGGGGAUGUUUUGGUCUGCCGGACCACGGCUACCCCCUUAACUGUACACACUUGGGUGAAGUACACAUACUUGACUCAUGGCUUCUCUGGAGUAGCUUGAUGAGUGAGAUAUCUGUUCAGAGGAAGCUGAGGAAGAAGACCUCUCUGAUUCUUAAGGAGUCUUCCUGGACCUGAAGCUUACGUUUUUUGCUUCCGAUAUUCUAGCUUGAGUGGCACUUUCCUCUUGGGUUGAGACUUCUGAUAAUAAAGAGUUAACUUACAUGAACCCUCUGGGCACUGAGUUCUCAACUGUGACCCAAGACCCUGGUUUCAGGUGUCCCUGGGAGCCUCUCUAUCAUCACUGUCCUCCACCUCUGCAGGACCUGUGGUUUCUUCCUUUUUCCCUGGGGACCUUCCAUCUUUGGGGAACAUCACUGUGGGAGACCAAGUCUCCUCUGGGAAAUCUUUUGUGAUAUUAGCACUUCAUAACAGAAGUCUAUAGUCUUUCAAAGGACUAUAAUACACUGAUAAUUUCUAUUGCAAAGAGAGGGUCUCCACAUUAAUUUUUUUGGCAUUUGUUGAAUGCCAAAUGAAAUUGUUCCUUUGGAACUUGAAAAUGACCUCAUUUGCCUGAUCUUUCAUAAUCACACAUGACUUCUCUGAGAGACAUUUUCUAUGAAAGUGAUUUUCAUAACAGAUUUAGAGUGUAAACAGUGAAACAGGAGAAAUUGUCAUCACUUUUUAAACUUUUUUCAGCCUUCUUUUAAGGGAAGGGUAUUUAUAGGAGGAAGCAUACUUAGAAAAAUUUGUAUUUUAUAUGCAUAUAAAGCUUCUCCUUGUAUCCUUAACCAACCCAGGGUAGAAGGUUAAAAUUGCCCUUUUCUGAACAGAAGGCCCUUACCAUGCUGCUAUGAGAAGCACUCCUUCAGGGUGAUGCAGAAACAGAUGUCCAUUUCUGAGAGUUUUGAUGCCACAAACCUCAGGUGGGCAACAUACAAGAACCUCACCUGAGUGUGUCUGGGUGUGCUGUAAUGUCAGCCUAACGGUCUGUGCACAUUUCUGAAUAUGAAGGAAGGAUUGGUGAGUUAACGAAGAAAUGAAUGGAAGCAGUUUGGGAGGGGAGUGAAAGCUCCAGGGACAGACAGAAGAUGGGAUGGGGGACUUGUCAAGAGGGUGUCAGAAAACCAGGAAGGAGCAGGAAGCACGGCCAGGGGAGGGCAGCAUAGGCUAGGGGGCAGCAGAGAUAAUGGUAGUGGGGAGAGCAACAAAACUGGCCUGUGAUACAGUGGGAAAUUAGUAAUCCUAGAUGAAGCUCAGGUUAAGUCAAGUAGGAAUGUAAAAAAUUCUAUCCUGUAGCUAUCUUUCCUGUGAGGGAUUUAGGUCCUUGGGGAGAGGUGGGGAGGAGACAUAGGAGGAAAAGGCGCAUUCCUGGGUCUAGGGAAGGAGUCUGAAAGACCUUCUUCUGCCCUAACAGGCUGGGGCUGCAUGGUUCACAAUGAUGUGGGCCCUGUGCUUCUUCACACCACCCACUCCUAGAACCUCCUGAAAAUUUUCUUAGUUCUUCACAUAGUAUGUUCAUUCCAUCUCAUUAGAAAAUAUAAUAAUGCAAUACACUUUUCCCUCACCACCCUUUCCUCAGUCCUACAUUCUCUGUCCCAGUUGUACACUGGCUUCCUUCCUUUCCAUCAGGUUUAAAGGCCAGAACAAUUGAGUAUUAUUUCUGCACUUAUUCCAGAAAUUUCUCAGAAUCCUAAGUUUGAUCAUUGAUUUAUUCCUGCAUUUCCCAUUGACAUUACAAACUUUGGUGAAUUAUCUACUAAAUGACAGGAAAUGCUUUCUUAGGUCAAUCCUCCUUAUGACCCUAUCUGUUCACCUCAAAUCCUUCAUCUUCUCCUGUCAUAGCUCUGAUUUCUGUGGAAAUCAGAUCCCCUAGUUCCCUAGCUCCCACCCAUCUGGGAGAUUUUUCCUCUCACCCUUAUUUAGAGUCUUAGAGAAAGGCCUCUUCUUUGUUUAUCACUGAUUCAUCCUGUCUGGGUGAAGACAUCCAAAAAUAAUGGUACUCUGAAGGAUCUCUAUCCCUCCUCCCAGUUACUGAUGAUAUCUGAAUCUUUCAUGACUUGGAGACUCUGAUGUAGUCCUGAAUUUCCUGGAUUUGCUAUCUAAAAACACUCUCCUGCAGGAGACCUCAGAUCGGCACCCUCUCCAAAGAGCAGUUGACAUCUGAGCGAGCACCAAGACUUCCAUAGCCCUUGUGUGACAUCAUUGUUGACACUGCUCGGUUCUAUGGGCCCAGUUUGAAGCAAAGCUGGGCAGCAAGGAAAAUAUGGCAACUGUUGAAGUAGGGGCUUGGGGGCUGGGAGGAGGGAGAUUAUAUAUUAAAAAUAAAUUAAAACUUCUCUCUGCACUCAAAGAGGUUACCAUCCCUUGGGAGGGAGAGAGAGCAUACAGGGAAUGAAAAUAGUGUGAUAGGCAGUUGCUUCCACCAAAUCCUCUCAUUUAACUCAGUUUGAAUCGUCUCUCCAGCCCUGGUCAUACAACAUCCACUCUGCACCCUUUUCAGGUCUCCUUAGCCUCUGAGGCUUCACACAGGCUCUUCACUCUGACUAGGAGAUGUUGUCCCCCUUCCCAUCUCCCGGCCUACUCUCCCUGGUGAAGUAUGUGGUGAAGAGAACUGACCCUGUUGAAACAGGUUAGGCUUAUGGCCUCACCAAAAAGACCUAAGACUCAGGACUUUUAUGCAGCCAGAAUAGGAGGUUUAGGAGUUGACUUGGGAAAGCCCAUGACCUCUGCUUCUUCCAGACUCUAUUUUUGUUUUGGAUGCCAUUUAGAAAAAGAUCCUGGAAAUGGGGAGAUCUAUUACGGAAGAAAUUAGGAAAGUUGGGGAGGUGACGAGAGAGGUGCUGACUUCUCGGUAGAAAAUAGAAAUUACAACACGAAGAUGCUAGGGGCUCAUUUUGUGUGACUCCCAACUGUAUAGGAGGGAGGACUGGUUGGAAAACAGAACAAAAGACGAUCUGUGCCUGUUGACAAAUGCACCAGUGGCUUCACUCUGUCUCCUCAGAAUGUUCUCAUCAAGCCAUCCCUCACCUUGUACUGAAGCCUCUGGAGAAUUCUUGGGGUUUCCUGGAUUCUGGGCCUUUGUCAUCCCUUAACUAUCCAACCAUAUUCCCAACUUGGUUCAGGCAUCACUUCCUAGUUGAGAUCUUCCCUGACCCUUUUCCUGGUAAAUUUGUCCACUUCUUGCUCUGUACACCUUUGUAUUUAAGAUACCCUUUACCACCACAUAAAACACAAUUCCAUUUACUUGCCACAGAUGAUUUUAGGAAGGUCGACACAUUCUCCCUCUCUCUGUGUCCAUGCCUUCUGUGAGACUCUGGAGCGCCUUUCCUCAGCAGCAGGAGUCUUUCUGCACCCUCAGUUGAGGCUGACCUUACGGUUGCUUUGGCCAUUAGGAUAGUAGUGAACCGGAUACAAGGUGAGAGUUGAAAGGACUUUGCAUUCAGACUUGCCCUUUUGUUGCUCUUAAAGCCUGAGAACCCAUGGGAACGGACCCAGGCCAGCCUGCUGGAUGAUGGGAGACCAUUGGAGAGAGGAUCCAGCAGUUUCACUGAGUUGAUUUUAGAUGAAAUGGCUCCUAGCUGACCUGGAAGCGAAUUGUAGACACAUGAGGAAGGCCUGCUGCGAGUCACUGUGCCUGGCCCAGAUAGGAAGAUCCCCAAAUUGACAACCAGAAUAACUCUGAGCUUAGUAAGUGGUUGUUCUUUUAAGUGCUACAUUUUGGGGUCAUUUGUUACACAGCAAUACACAACUGAUACAACGGUUAACUUGGCUCUUUCUCUGAUCAGGCAAUGAGGGACCUUCUCUGAGUUAUCUUAUCAUCAAGAGUACAUGGCAUAGGGUCUGACAUGUAGUCAGUAUACAGUGAAUCUUUGUUGACUUAAUGGAUAAAUGAAUAAUAUGAAUCAUAAGUGUGAAUCUGCAUAAAAUCCUGUGUGAAAAAAAGCAUGAUAUUUCUUUAAAUAAACUGAAUUCCAGCUCAGAGCAGCCUGCUUACCAAAUUGGGGGGUGGGGGGGGGACGGGGUGGUGGAUUUUCACCUUACUUAUUUUUAGAUUUCCUCCUCAUCCAGAUAUGCAAUAAUUCCUGGGGUCUAAUGAAGGACCAAGGUUUGGAGACAGGCUUCAAAACACCCAUUGCCCCAGCCUACGUGGGUGAUUUCUCUAGAAGUAUUGGCUCUGCUCCUUCCAUUCCUAGCUGGAGCAGGAGAACCUUGGCAGGGCUGUGAACACCAUGAUGGGGUUUGUGUACCUAUGUGCCUGCAUUAUCCUUUGAGGUGCUGCCGUCUACCCCAGGGCACUGUCAAGAAGCAGGGCCAACCCCUUUCCUAUUUCUAGGACUCUGCUAUCCGACUCUCACUCCUCCCCUGGGUUUCAAUUCACGCAGUGUGAUUACUCCAGUGAGCUGAGGCUUUUACAACAGGCUCUUCAGGGUCUCAAAGUUUCAGAGGUUCAACCCUGUGAGUCCAACUACCUCCUUGAAAUAAGAUAGAGAAGGAAGAAAAAUAUAGGAAAAUUUUAUUUUGAAUUUAAUGUUUCAAUAAAUUUUCUUGCCAUGUGUUUUGAAAGCGUCCUGCCUAAAAAUUCCCCCUGUUCUCUUACAAUUUGCAAGACAGUGAAAAGGGAAUGUUUGAUUGUGUCAUAAUCUGCAGAAGAUGUAAAGCACACAUGGGGUCCAUUCCUCCCGAUGCUCACACUAGAGCACCCCACCCACUUGGAAAUUUCUGCAAGUAUUUCGGAGUCCCUCACACAUCCACAAUGAACAGCUUUCAAAUUCUCCUAAGCAGGAAUUAUUACUGUCACAGCCUGUGACCCAAUAAGCAAGGUUAUGCAUGGGUCCAGUUGUGCCUUCCCACUAAUCUACAGCGCACCAUUUCACCUGUCAACCACCACAUCAAAGACGUAGUGAAACCCAUGUGAAAUUGCUCGCCGUACAUUGUUGCUGUUGUGUUGUUGUUGUUAGGUGGGUCUAAUCAGUUCCAGCUCAUACUGACCUUAUGGACCACAGAUGGAACACUGCCCAGUCCUGCGCCAUCCUCACAGUUGUCACCAUGUUGGAGACCACUGUUGCAGUCACUGUGUUAAUCCAUCUCAUUGAGGAACUUCCUCUUUUUUGCUGAGCUUCUACUUUAUCAAGCACGAUGUCUUUGUCCAGGGACUGGUUCCUCCUGAUAACAUGUCCAAAGUACGUGAGACAGAGCCUCAUCAUCCUCGCUUCUAAGGAGCACUGUGGUCAUACUUCUUCCAAAACAGAUUUGUUUCUACUUCUGGUAGCCCAUGGUAUAUUCAAUAUUUUUUUGCCAACACCAUAAUUCGAAGGUGUCAAUACUUCUUUGGCCUUCCUUAUUUAUUGUCCCAGCUUUUGCAUGCAUGUAAAAAAAAAAUGCAUAUAAGGUGAUGGAAAAUACCAUGGCUUGGGUCAGGCCCACCUUAGACCUCAGAGUGUCAUAUUUGCUUUUGAACACUUUAAAGAACUCUUUUGCAGCCAAUCUGCCCAAUACAAUAAGACAUUUGAUUUUUUUGACAGCUGCUUUCCUGGGUGUUGAUUGUGGAUCCAAGCAAAACGAAAUCCUCUACAACUGCAGUCUUUUCUCUGUUUAUCAUGAUGCUGCUUAUUGGUUCACUUUUGAUGAUUUUUGUUUUCUCUAUUUUCACCAUACUUAUUCAAUCUGUACGCUGACCAAGUAACCUGAGAAGCCAGACUGUAUAGAAGAAUUUGGCAUCAGGAUUAGAGGAAGACUCAUUAACAACCUGUGAUAUGCAGAUGACAAGACCAUGCUUACUGAAAGUGAAGAGGACUUGAAGCACUUAGUGAUAAAGAUCAAAAACCACAGCCUUCAUUAUAGACUACACCUCAACAUAAAGAGAACAGAAAUGCUCACAACCAGGCCGGUAAGAAAUGUCAUGAUAAAAGGAGAAAAUAUUGAACUUGUCAAGGAUUUCA